UAAGUAAACCGGGUGGCCGCGGGCUUUUUCGUUCAUAUCUUGCCGGCGAGGGGUGGGCAAAGCACCUUAAACCAACUACCCCAGCAGCGGGCAAGAACGAGAGAGCCUGAGGAAAGUCCGAGCUCCACCGGGCAGAAGGCUGGGUAACACCCAGGAGGGGUGACCCUACGGAAAGUGCCACAGAAACAUACCGCCUUUUUCGUCCUGCUUCGCUGCAAAGCGAGGUUAACUUCAAGGAACUGAGGUUAUAAUCGAGAUGCCGUUUGAAAAGGGCGAAAAAGGUAAGGGUGAAAUGGUGAGGUAAGAGCUCACCAGCGGCUGGGAGACCAGUCGGCUGGGCAAACCCCCUUCGGAGCAAGACCGAAUAGGAGGGGAGAGGACGCCCGGCCUCAUUAUUACCCUCGGGUUGGUCGCUUGAGGUGGCGGGUAACUGUUACCCUAGAUAGAUGGCCACACUCCGACUUUGUCGGAGCACAGAACUCGGCUUACAGGUUUGCUUGGCCC
rnacentral:RNase_P_RNA from 1 species